CCUACGGGAGGCUGCAGUGAGGAAUAUUGGGCAAUGGAGGCAACUCUGACCCAGCCAAGUCGCGUGAGUGAAGACUGCUCUCUGAGUUUUAAGCUCUUUUGGUCGUGACGAUGAUGACGGUAGCAUCUAAAGAAGCCCCGGCUAAUUUCGUGCCAGCAGCCGCGGUAAUACGACGGGGGCAAGCGUUGUUAGGAAUUACUGGGCGUAAAGGGAGUGUAGGCGGGUUAGUAAGAUAGUGGUGAAAGCCCAGGGCUUAACCUUGGAAUUGCCAUUAUAACUAUUAGACUAGAAUUACAGAGAGGAUAGUGGAAUACGUAGUGUAGAGGUGAAAUUCGUAGAUAUUGGGUAGAACACCAGUGGCGAAGGCGACUAUCUGGCUGUACAUUGACGCUGAGGCUCGAAAGCAUGGGGAUCAAACAGGAUUAGAUACCCCUGUAGUC
rnacentral:rRNA from 1 species